rnacentral:tRNA from 1 species
GGCACCGUGGCGGAGUGGUUACGCAGCGGCCUGCAAAGCCGUGAACACCGGUUCGAUUCCGGUCGGUGCCU